CACGUAGGGGCCAAGCGUUGUCCGGAUUUCUUGGGCGUAAAGAGCUCGUAGGCGGCUCGGUAAGUCGGGUGUGAAACCUCCAGGCUCAACCUGGAGACGCCACCCGAUACUGCUGUGGCUAGAGUCCGGUAGGGGAGCGUGGAAUUCCUGGUGUAGCGGUGAAAUGCGCAGAUAUCAGGAGGAACACCGGCGGCGAAGGCGGCGCUCUGGGCCGGAACUGACGCUGAGGAGCGAAAGCGUGGGUAGCAAACAGG
rnacentral:rRNA from 1 species